UUGCCUUAGUAGCGGCGAGUGAAGCGGCAAAAGCUCAAAUUUGAAAUCUGGCUCUUUCAGAGUCCGAGUUGUAAUUUGAAGAAGGUAUCUUUGGGUCUGGCUCUUGUCUAUGUUUCUUGGAACAGAACGUCACAGAGGGUGAGAAUCCCGUGCGAUGAGAUGAUCCAGGCCUAUGUAAAGUUCCUUCGAAGAGUCGAGUUGUUUGGGAAUGCAGCUCUAAGUGGGUGGUAAAUUCCAUCUAAAGCUAAAUAUUGGCGAGAGACCGAUAGCGAACAAGUACAGUGAUGGAAAGAUGAAAAGAACUUUGAAAAGAGAGUGAAAAAGUACGUGAAAUUGUUGAAAGGGAAGGGCUUGAGAUCAGACUUGGUAUUUUGUAUGUUACUUCUUCGGGGGUGGCCUCUACAGUUUAUCGGGCCAGCAUCAGUUUGGGCGGUAGGAGAAUUGCGUUGGAAUGUGGCACGGCUUUCGGUUGUGUGUUAUAGCCCUUCGUCGAUACUGCAGCCUAGACUGAGGAACUKGCGCUUAUACUAGAUGGUGGCAUAUGAUCUAGUCGCCGCU
rnacentral:rRNA from 1 species